rnacentral:rRNA from 1 species
GGUAACACUGAAUGGAGGACCGAACCGACUUACGUUGAAAAGUGAGCGGAUGAACUGAGGGUAGCGGAGAAAUUCCAAUCGAACCUGGAGAUAGCUGGUUCUCUCCGAAAUAGCUUUAGGGCUAGCCUCAAGUGAUGAUUAUUGGAGGUAGAGCACUGUUUGGACGAGGGGCCCCUCUCGGGUUACCGAAUUCAGACAAACUCCGAAUGCCAAUUAAUUUAACUUGGGAGUCAGAACAUGGGUGAUAAGGUCCGUGUUCGAAAGGGAAACAGCCCAGACCACCAGCUAAGGUCCCAAAAUAUAUGUUAAGUGGAAAAGGAUGUGGCGUUGCCCAGACAACUAGGAUGUUGGCUUAGAAGCAGCCAUCAUUUAAAGAGUGCGUAAUAGCUCACUAGUCGAGUGACACUGCGCCGAAAAUGUACCGGGGCUAAACAUAUUACCGAAGCUGUGGAUUGUCCUUUGGACAAUGGUAGGAGAGCGUUCUAAGGGCGUUGAAGCAUGAUCGUAAGGACAUGUGGAGCGCUUAGAAGUGAGAAUGCCGGUGUGAGUAGCGAAAGACGGGUGAGAAUCCCGUCCACCGAUUGACUAAGGUUUCCAGAGGAAGGCUCGUCCGCUCUGGGUUAGUCGGGUCCUAAGCUGAGGCCGACAGGCGUAGGCGAUGGAUAACAGGUUGAUAUUCCUGUACCACCUAUAAUCGUUUUAAUCGAUGGGGGGACGCAGUAGGAUAGGCGAAGCGUGCGAUUGGAUUGCACGUCUAAGCAGUAAGGCUGAGUAUUAGGCAAAUCCGGUACUCGUUAAGGCUGAGCUGUGAUGGGGAGAAGACAU